AAGGUACUUUGCUGGAACGUGCGAGGGUUAAACAACCCAGCAAAACGGAAGGCGGUCAAGCAAUUUAUUACUUCGGCGAGAGUUAACAUAGUGUGCUUACAGGAGACUAAACUUGAUGUAAUUGAUCGUUUCAUAGUGAUGUAAUGUAUCAGUUUGUCCUUGGACAUCUUUGAUUACCUGCCGGCGUGUGACACUCAAGGUGGAAUUCUGGUGGCUUGGGACACAACGGUGAUGGACAUUGAAAAUAUCAGCCGUGAUACAAACUUCAUGAUCGAUUCCCCCUCCGGUAAGGCACCGGAAAAGGCCUCCAAAUGGGAUCACAGAAGAACAGAAGUUUGCGGCGGUGUAAAAAGUGUUUUGGGUGGCUCUCUGUUGGUUUGGGAAUAUAUGUGA
rnacentral:rRNA from 1 species